GGCGGCUUUCUCUUCGUUCGCCACUGCCUUGUACCGUGUGGGUGUUUCCCGGUUUCGAAUCAUCGCCAAGCCCGAAUCUUUUUUCCAUUCGCAUUCAACUCCGCUCUCAUUCACUGGCAAAACAAAGAAAUCGUGCGGAUUCCGAUUGAUUUCAAUGGCUGCGGAACCCAAAGAGUCACCUGCCAACAACCCCGGUCUUCAGGCGACCCCUGAUGAAGCUACCAAGGGAUACUUUAUGCAGCAGACUAUGUUUAGAAUCAGGGACCCAAAAGUCAGCCUUGAUUUUUAUUCUCGCGUCUUGGGAAUGUCGUUGCUUAAGAGGUUGGAUUUUCCUGAUAUGAAGUUUAGCCUGUACUUUUUGGGCUAUGAGGAUCCAGCCACAGCUCCCAGCAAUUCAGUUGAUAGAACUGUGUGGACUUUUGCUAAGAAAGCUACAAUAGAGCUGACACACAAUUGGGGUACUGAAAGUGAUCCAGAGUUCAAAGGAUACCACAAUGGCAAUUCAGAACCUCGUGGCUUUGGACACAUUGGCGUUACUGUUGAUGACACAUACAAGGCAUGUGAAAGAUUUGAGCGUCUGGGAGUUGAAUUUGUUAAGAAACCAGAUGAUGGUAACAAGCUUCUGGAAAAUGAAAGGGAUAGCAUUUAUAAAUGAUCCGGAUGGAUAUUGGAUUGAAAUCUUUGAUCUAAAAACGAUUGGAAAUAUAACUGCUGGUGGUGCUUAAGUUGGUCUCAUGCCACCUACAGGUGGGAGGACUGCUUUGAGCAGAUCGGGUUUCAUCUUGUCUCUGCUCACAUGUUGGAGUUGGGGGUUACUGCUUGGCUGUUAUUGCUUCUAUAGCACUUGUUUUGUGUAACUUCUUUUCGUGGGGUACGAUUUGUACUCAUAUGAGAGAUUGCCAUUCUUGUAUUCCUGAUUUUUGAAUCUGCGAUUAUCUAUGUGACGUUUGGAGAGUCUAUAAUACUUCCAUCUAUCUUUUGACCC